rnacentral:rRNA from 1 species
AUUGAACGCUGGCGGCAGGCCUAACACAUGCAAGUCGAGCGGAUGCAGGGUUCUUGCUCCUGGAUUCAGCGUCGGACGGGUGAGUAAUGCCUUGUAAUCUGCCUUGUUGUAGGGGAUCACGUCCGGGAACGGGCCCUAAUACCGCAUACGUCCUGAGGGAGAAAGUGGGGGUUCCUCGGACCUCACGCUAUCAGAUGAGCAUAGGUCGGAUGAGCUAGUUGGUGGGGUAACGGUCUACCAAGGCGACGUUCCGUAACUGGUCUGAGAGGAUGAUCAGUUACACUGGAACUGAGACACGGUCCUGACUCCUAAGGGAGGCAGCAGUGGGGAAUAUUGGACAAGGGGCGAGAGCCUGAUCCAGCCAAGCGGCGGGUGUGAAGAAGGUGUUAGGAUGGUAGAGCGAUUAAAGUUGGGGGGAAGGGCAGUAAGUUAAUACCUUGCUGUUUUGACGGUACCAACAGAAUAAGCACCGGCUAACUACGUG